rnacentral:tRNA from 1 species
GCCCCUAUAGCUCAGUUGGUAGAGCUGCGGACUUUUAAUCCGUAGGUCGUGGGUUCGAGUCCCACUGGGGGUA